CAAAGGAAUUGACGGGGCCCGCACAAGCGGAGGAACAUGUGGUUUAAUUCGAUGAUACGCGAGGAACCUUACCUGGGCUUAAAUGUAGAGUGCAUGAUGUGGAAACAUGUCUUCCCUUCGGGGCUCUCUGCAAGGUGCUGCAUGGUUGUCGUCAGCUCGUGCCGUGAGGUGUCGGGUUAAGUCCCAUAACGAGCGCAACCCUUAUCGUUAGUUGCCAGCGGGUAAUGCCGGGAACUCUAACGAAACUGCCGGUGUAAACCGAGAGGAAGGUGGGAUGACGUCAAAUCAGCACGGCCCUUAUGUCCAGGGCUACACACGUGUUACAAUGGCCGGUACAGAGGGCAGCUACCUGGAGACAGGAUGCGAAUCUCGAAAGCCGGUCUCAGUUCGGAUCGGAGUCUGCAACUCGACUCCGUGAAGCUGGAUUCGCUAGUAAUCGCGCAUCAGCCAUGGCGCGGUGAAUACGCUCCCGGGCCUU
rnacentral:rRNA from 1 species